rnacentral:rRNA from 1 species
AUGAAUGUUUUAGCUUGGAACUGCCGGGGUGGGGGGAACUGUUAGACAGUUCGCGAGGUGUUGGCCCUCUCAAAAGCCAAUUCCCCCAAAUUUGUCUUCCUUUCGGAGACAAGACAAGAUGUAUCAAAGAUGGAGAAGCUACGUUAGCGGCUGGGCUUAAAAGGUUUCGCUGGUGUUAGUUGUGAUGGUUUGAGUGGAGGCUUAGCGUUGUACUGGGAUGAUUCCCUUUUGGUGCUAGUGCUGGACUCUUGUAAGCGAUACAUUGAUGUUCAAGUGAAGGACCCGAGUAACGAUACUUGUUGGUGGGGUACUUUUGUUUACGGUGAACCAAGAGUUGAGAAUAGGCAUAUCAUGUGGGAUAAUCUUACAACUCUACGUGCAAUUUCAGCAGAUACAUGGCUGGUUUGUGGUGACUUCAACGAGGCUAUGUGGCAGCAUGAACAUAUCUCACAUACUACUCGAUCUGAAGUACAAAUGCAAGCCUUUCAGGACUGUCUAAACAUGUGUGAAAUUGUGGAUUUGGGGUUCUCGGUAUGUCGUUCACAUAUGAUAACGGCCACACAAAUGAUAGCAAUGUCAAAGUCCCGCUGGACAGGGCAUGCGCGGACCAUGCUUGGCGGGAUCUUUUUUCGGCCUCCCGUGUCCAUCUUGUCAUUUCAUCUUGCUCGAACCAUUGUGCUGUAG